GAUGAACGCUGGCGGCGUGCUUAACACAUGCAAGUCGAACGGUGAAGGCGGAGCUUGCUCUGCUGGAUCAGUGGCGAACGGGUGAGUAACACGUGAGCAAUCUGCCCCUGACUCUGGGAUAAGCGCUGGAAACGGCGUCUAAUACUGGAUACGAGCUGCGAAGGCAUCUUCAGCAGCUGGAAAGAAUUUCGGUCAGGGAUGAGCUCGCGGCCUAUCAGCUUGUUGGUGAGGUAAUGGCUCACCAAGGCGUCGACGGGUAGCCGGCCUGAGAGGGUGACCGGCCACACUGGGACUGAGACACGGCCCAGACUCCUACGGGAGGUAGCAGUGGGGAAUAUUGCACAAUGGGCGAAAGCCUGAUGCAGCAACGCCGCGUGAGGGACGACGGCCUUCGGGUUGUAAACCUCUUUUAGCAGGGAAGAAGCGAAAGUGACGGUACCUGCAGAAAAAGCGCCGGCUAACUACGUG
rnacentral:rRNA from 1 species